UACGUAGGGGGCUAGGCGUUGUCCGGAAUCAUUGGGCGUAAAGAGCGUGUAGGCGGUCCGGUAAGUCCGCUGUGAAAGUCGGGGGCUCAACCCUCGAAUGCCGGUGGAUACUGUCGGGCUUGAGUACGGAAGAGGCGAGUGGAAUUCCUGGUGUAGCGGUGAAAUGCGCAGAUAUCAGGAGGAACACCAAUUGCGAAGGCAGCUCGCUGGGACGUUACUGACGCUGAGACGCGAAAGCGUGGGGAGCAAACAGG
rnacentral:rRNA from 1 species